AUUACUACUGGGAAAACCAGAGCUUUAACUAUACGGACCUUUGUUGGCAUAGUUAAAGCUAUGGUUUUCCCAGUAGUGAU